CAACACCAGCUGCAGCAGCAGCAGCCUGAUCAUGUGAUUAGCAUUCAGUCUGUACAAGAGGAGAAGAGGGACAAACAGCACGAAACGCACACGAACUGCGCCCCAUCACAACACUGCAUCAAAAUAAAGCUCACUGAACAGGAGAGGAUCCCAGGAGCAGGAAACUGUGGGAGCCAGGACGCCAAUCACUGGCAUAUAUUUUGUCCGGACCAAUGAUGAUCCUUGCAAAUUAGUUUAUUGACUCUGCUGGCAUCUCUGGCACAGAUGCUGCUCCCCAGGAAGACCACAGUACAGUAGAUGGCACUCCCUACUACAGACUGAAGUGGAGCAUCUCUACCAUUACAUCUUCAUCUCUAACUCACGUUUCAUGAAUAAUUUGCAUACUGAUCAGGCCCGUGGACAGCUGCUCCCAAGACUGUGAUGGAAUAAGCCCAAUUAAAGUGAGAAGAGGACGCCUGACACUCUCUGUCUGCUGCUGAAGUGCAUUAAUCAUUCUAGAUGAGGCUAAU